ensembl:snoRNA
CUUUCCAUUUAUUUGCUGCUCUGGUCGCUCAAUGCCAUGAGCAGUUAUAGGCAUGGGAUAAAAUAAUAUUGAGCCAUUGUAAAUGGAGAUGGAACAGUGUCAUUUCUCCUACAUGGUCUAGACAUUG